UACGGGGGGAGCAAGCGUUGUUCGGAUUUACUGGGCGUAAAGGGCGCGUAGGCGGUCAGCACAAGUCAGUUGUGGAAUCUCCGGGCUUAACUCGGAAAGGUCAACUGAUACUGUGCGACUAGAGUGCAGAAGGGGCAACUGGAAUUCUCGGUGUAGCGGUGAAAUGCGUAGAUAUCGAGAGGAACACCUGCGGCGAAGGCGGGUUGCUGGGCUGACACUGACGCUGAGGCGCGAAAGCCAGGGGAGCGAACGGG
rnacentral:rRNA from 1 species